CGGGGUGUGGCGCAGUCCGGUAGCGCGCCUGCUUUGGGAGCAGGAGGUCUCGAGUUCGAGUCUCGACACCCCGACCA
rnacentral:tRNA from 1 species